GAUGAACGCUGGCGGCGUGCUUAACACAUGCAAGUCGAACGAUGAAGCCCAGCUUGCUGGGUGGAUUAGUGGCGAACGGGUGAGUAACACGUGAGUAACCUGCCCUUAACUCUGGGAUAAGCCUGGGAAACUGGGUCUAAUACCGGAUAGGAGCGUCCACCGCAUGGUGGGUGUUGGAAAGAUUUAUCGGUUUUGGAUGGACUCGCGGCCUAUCAGCUUGUUGGUGAGGUAAUGGCUCACCAAGGCGACGACGGGUAGCCGGCCUGAGAGGGUGACCGGCCACACUGGGACUGAGACACGGCCCAGACUCCUACGGGAGGCAGCAGUGGGGAAUAUUGCACAAUGGGCGCAAGCCUGAUGCAGCGACGCCGCGUGAGGGAUGACGGCCUUCGGGUUGUAAACCUCUUUCAGUAGGGAAGAAGCGAGAGUGACGGUACCUGCAGAAGAAGCACCGGCUAACUACGUG
rnacentral:rRNA from 1 species